AUACUAAAGCUAAACAUCUUCAAAGCUGUUAUACUCACACGAAGACAGGAAAACCUUCUACGAAAGUGGCUUUAAAUUAAUGCUAACCCACGAAAACUAGGAAACAAACUGGGAUUAGAUACCCCACUAUGCCUAGCCUUAAACACAAGUAAACAUUUACACCUUCUGCUUGCCAGGGAACUACGAGCCCCAGCUUAAAACCCAAAGGACUUGGCGGUGCUUUAGACCCCCCUAGAGGAGCCUGUUCUAGAACCGAUAACCCCCGUUAAACCUCACCCUUUCUUGUUUAUCCCGCCUAUAUACCGCCGUCGUCAGCUUACCCUGUGAAGGUUUCAUAGUGAGCUUAAUUGGUAAAACCUAAAACGUCAGGUCGAGGUGUAGCGUACGAGAGGGGAAGAAAUGGGCUACAUUCACUGGACCAGUGUACACGAACAAUACUCUGAAAUCGAAUAUUUAAAGGAGGAUUUAGCAGUAAGGAAAGAAUAGAGUGCUUUCCUGAAAUUGGCCCUGAAGCGCGCACACACCGCCCGUCACUCUCCCCACCAACUAGAUUAAAAGUAUAUAAAA
rnacentral:rRNA from 1 species